AUUCUUAGCUGGCAGGGGGGUACCGUGACCACGCAGGAGCCUGGCCCAGGGCGAGGCUCGGCCAUAGCGCUGCGGAUGUGCUGACCCCUGCAGUUCCCCCAAAUGCAGGAAACUCAGCUGUGUAAUUUGUGGUGUGGGCGACUGUGUUUGUGCACUCUCCUG
rnacentral:snRNA from 1 species